AGUGGCGAACGGGUGAGUAACACGUGGGCAACCUGCCCAAAAGAGGGGGAUAACACUUGGAAACAGGUGCUAAUACCGCAUAACCAUAGUUACCGCAUGGUAGCUAUGUAAAAGGUGGCUAUGCUACCGCUUUUGGAUGGGCCCGCGGCGCAUUAGCUAGUUGGUGGGGUAAAGGCUUACCAAGGCAAUGAUGCGUAGCCGAACUGAGAGGUUGAUCGGCCACAUUGGGACUGAGACACGGCCCAAACUCCUACGGGAGGCAGCAGUAGGGAAUCUUCCACAAUGGGCGAAAGCCUGAUGGAGCAACGCCGCGUGGGUGAAGAAGGUCUUCGGAUCGUAAAACCCUGUUGUUAGAGAAGAAAGUGCGUGAGAGUAACUGUUCACGUUUCGACGGUAUCUAACCAGAAAGCCACGGCUAACUACGUGCCAGCAGCCGCGGUAAUACGUAGGUGGCAAGCGUUAUCCGGAUUUAUUGGGCGUAAAGGGAACGCAGGCGGUCUUUUAAGUCUGAUGUGAAAGCCUUCGGCUUAACCGGAGUAGUGCAUUGGAAACUGGGAGACUUGAGUG
rnacentral:rRNA from 1 species